GGGUGCGAUCAUACCAGCACUAAUGCACCGGAUCCCAUCAGAACUCCGCAGUUAAGCGUGCUUGGGCGAGAGUAGUACUAGGAUGGGUGACCUCCUGGGAAGUCCUCGUGUUGCACUCC
rnacentral:rRNA from 1 species